rnacentral:tRNA from 1 species
AGUUAAGGUGGCAGAACCCGGCCAUCGCAAAAGGUCUAAGCCCUUUCAACAGAGGUUCAAAUCCUCUCCUUAACUA